rnacentral:rRNA from 1 species
GAUGAACGCUGGCGGCGUGCCUAAUACAUGCAAGUCGAGCGAACGGACGAGAAGCUUGCUUCUCUGAUGUUAGCGGCGGACGGGUGAGUAACACGUGGAUAACCUACCUAUAAGACUGGGAUAACUUCGGGAAACCGGAGCUAAUACCGGAUAAUAUUUUGAACCGCAUGGUUCAAAAGUGAAAGACGGUCUUGCUGUCACUUAUAGAUGGAUCUGCGCUGCAUUAGCUAGUUGGUAAGGUAACGGCUUACCAAGGCAACGAUGCAUAGCCGACCUGAGAGGGUGAUCGGCCACACUGGAACUUGGACACGGUCCAGACUCCUACGGGAGGCAGCAGUAUGGAAUCCUCCGCAAUGGGCGAAAGCCUGACGGAGCAGCGCCGCGUGAGUGAUGAAGGUCUUCGGAUCGUAAAGCUCUGUUAUUAGGGAAGAACAUAUGUGUAAGUAACUGUGCACAUCUUGACGGUACCUAAUCAGAAAGCCACGGCUAACUACGUG